AGGGAUUUUUCUGCUAAGCCAGGUACAAUAAUCUAUGUAUACGUUUUUUCUAUGUACGCAUUUGGGUUUGGUUUGUGUUUCUUUUUGAUUUUCUAUCUGUCUUUGAGUCUAGUUUUGUUUUGCAUCCGCUUCUCUUUCCGUUCUAGAGUACAGUUUUUGUUUGCGUCCGUGAGUGUGAGGCCUCGUUUAGUUUUCAAAUUUUUUAAGAUUUCUCGUCAUAUCAAAUUUUACGUCAUAUGUAUGAAGUAUUAAAUAUAGAUAGAAAAGAUAACUAAUUGUAUAGUUUAUCUGUAAUUUACAGAACGAAUUUUUUAAGUCUAGUUAUUUAAUGAUUAAAUAAUAAUUAUCAAAUAAAAACGAAAGUGUUAUAGUAGCUAAAUCUGAAAAAUUUCACGAAGUAAACAAACCCUGAUUUUAGGUUACAUCCCUCUAUAAAACGUUACAAAAGCAGUCAAACAGACCUAAACAUUGAAGAUUCCCUACCGGCUACGGGCUACCGCUCCCACUGUUGGUACGUAUUUAAGAGUCUAUCGUUCGCUACAGUUUGUGGAUUGUUUUUUAGUGAGUGAUAAAAUUUAUUUUGCUUUUGAGAGCAUGUACAUUCCACUCGCUCAUCCAUAAGAUUCGAUUUGAGAAGUGUACAAACAUAUAUCUUAUACGAAACUAUAUGAGAUAUGUGUUUCUAUAUUUCUCAAAGCGAUUUGAAUGAAUGAAAGAGUGAGGACACGUGAGUGAGUGCUAGAAGGACUGGUUU
rnacentral:lncRNA from 1 species